rnacentral:lncRNA from 1 species
GUGUGCGGGAGGGAAGCAGGAAGUGACUGCGGGAGUGGAGCCGGCGAGAGAGUGGCAGCGGGGGCUGAUGGAAGUGCAGUGGGGGCUGGAGAGGGCACCCUAGUUGGGUGGUCCGCGGACCACGCUUUGAGUAGCGAGGCAUUAGAGAACUUUUCCACAGUCCUCUCCGCCCAGACCUGAAUCCUUCUGCUGGAUUCCCCCUCGUGGAGUUAGGGCAUGUGUGUGCAGCUCCACUAAGGCCCAGCAGCCCUAGUGCUGUUUCCACUUCUGCAACUUCACCAGCCUCUUGAACUGACUCUUGGAAGCGGAACAACAGGUUUAAAAGGGGGAGAAAGGAAAUAAAGAAAACAAACCUGUAUCAAUCAGCCGGGAAUGCCCAUGUGCUGCUGUGGCAGCUGUAUCCAGCAUGCUCCAAGGCCACAGCUCUGUGUUCCAGGCCUUGCUGGGGACCUUCUUCACCUGGGGGAUGACAGCAGCUGGGGCAGCUCUCGUGUUCGUAUUCUCUAGUGGACAGAGGCGGAUCUUA